rnacentral:rRNA from 1 species
UGCAAGUCGAGCGGAGAGAGGUAGCUUGCUACUGAUCUUAGCGGCGGACGGGUGAGUAAUGCUUAGGAAUCUGCCUAUUAGUGGGGGACAACAUUUCGAAAGGAAUGCUAAUACCGCAUACGUCCUACGGGAGAAAGCAGGGGAUCUUCGGACCUUGCGCUAAUAGAUGAGCCUAAGUCGGAUUAGCUAGUUGGUGGGGUAAAGGCCUACCAAGGCGACGAUCUGUAGCGGGUCUGAGAGGAUGAUCCGCCACACUGGGACUGAGACACGGCCCAGACUCCUACGGGAGGCAGCAGUGGGGAAUAUUGGACAAUGGGCGGAAGCCUGAUCCAGCCAUGCCGCGUGUGUGAAGAAGGCCUUAUGGUUGUAAAGCACUUUAAGCGAGGAGGAGGCUACUUUAGUUAAUACCUAGAGAUAGUGGACGUUACUCGCAGAAUAAGCACCGGCUAACUCUGUGCCAGCAGCCGCGGUAAUACAGAGGGUGCAAGCGUUAAUCGGAUUUACUGGGCGUAAAGCGCGCGUAGGCGGCUAAUUAAGUCAAAUGUGAAAUCCCCGAGCUUAACUUGGGAAUUGCAUUCGAUACUGGCUAGCUAGAGUGUGGGAGAGGAUGGUAGAAUUCCAGGUGUAGCGGUGAAAUGCGUAGAGAUCUGGAGGAAUACCGAUGGCGAAGGCAGCCAUCUGGCCUAACACUGACGCUGAGGUGCGAAAGCAUGGGGAGCAAACAGGAUUAGAUACCCUG